rnacentral:rRNA from 1 species
UUCCGGUUGAUCCUGCCGGAGGUUACUGCUAUCGGUGUUCGCCUAAGCCAUGCGAGUCAUAUGUAGCAAUACAUGGCGUACUGCUCAGUAACACGUGGAUAACCUGCCCUUGGGACCGGCAUAACCCCGGGAAACUGGGGAUAAUUCCGGAUAACGCAUAUGUGCUGGAAUGCUUUAUGCGUAAAAUGGAUUCGUCUGCCCAAGGAUGGGUCUGCGGCCUAUCAGGUAGUAGUGGGUGUAAUGUACCUACUAGCCAGCGACGGGUACGGGUUGUGAGAGCAAGAGCCCGGAGAUGGAUUCUGAGACAUGAAUCCAGGCCCUACGGGGCGCAGCAGGCGCGAAAGCUUUACAAUGCGGGAAACCGUGAUAAGGGGACACCGAAUGCCAGCAUCAUAUGCUGGCUGUCCAGGUGUGUAAAAUACACCUGUUAGCAAGGGCCGGGCAAGACCGGUGCCAGCCGCCGCGGUAACACCGGCGGCCCGAGUGGUGAUCGUGAUUAUUGGGUCUAAAGGGUCCGUAGCCGGUUUGGUCAGUCCUCCGGGAAAUCUGAUAGCUUAACUAUUAGGCUUUCGGGGGAUACUGCCAGACUUGGAACCGGGAGAGGUAAGAGGUAC